GGCAAGACCAGACAGUCCUCAGACCUCUCCCUCUGGCAACCCCACAGGGAAACAUGAUGCUGUGGCUCCAACUUCUUCUCAUUGCAGCAGCACUGGAAGGUGCCCUCUCCCAGGUGACUCUGACCCAGUCAGGGGCAGCCGUGAAGAAGCCUGGAGAGUCCCACACGCUGCAAUGUGUCACCAGUGGGUUUAGUCUCAGUGGCACUAGUAUGUACUGGAUCAGGCAGGCACCUGGGAAGGCACUGGAGUGGAUAGUCUAUUUUUACAGCAGCAGUGACAACAGUUACGCCUCCUCCAUUAAGGGGCGAUUCACAGCCUCCAAGGACAGCUCCACCUUCUACCUACAAAUGAACAGCCUGAAAGCUGAGGACACGGCCGUGUAUUACUGUGCAAG